rnacentral:lncRNA from 1 species
ACCGUGCUUACGCGUCUCUCCCUGUCACUCCACACAAUCCUUCCCUCUGCCCCUGAGCCUUGCAGGCUGGGACUGUGGCUUGCUCAGUGUGUAUCCCCAGCACUCUGGAUGGUGCCAGGCAUGCAGGAGGGACCGGGUUCUACAUCAACCUGAGCUCUGGGAGUGACAUCACCUUCCACCUGAACCCCCGUUUCGAUGAGAACACCAGGGUCCGCAACACACAGAUCAACAGCUCUUGGGGACAUGUGGAGAAAAGCCUGUCUGGAAAAAUAACCUUCACCUGAGGCCGGAGCUUCUCAGUAAGCUGCUGCAGCCUGCAGCACAGAGGAGGUUUCACAGGGCAAAUGGAGCAGGGGGUGGGGGUGUCUGGGGCCCCUCAAACAAGAUGGGAGCUGAUGCCUCUGGGGUGAGGGCUGCCCCCUGAAGAAGAGAACAUGUUCAGCCAGUUGUUGUUAUUAUUUUACCGUUACUGUCCCACAUCAGGUAGAUGGUGCUAUCUGCUCUUUACAGAUGAGGAAACAGACACACAAGUGCGGGUUACUGGCCUGAGGUCACACAGCGAUAAGUGUCAGAUGGAGCCCAAGAAUGAGGCGUCCUCCCUUUAUUCACUCACUCACUCAUUCAUUCCGCAAUCAUUUCAGCUAUGCUAUCAGGGCUCACUUUGUGCAGGAAGCACCCUGGGUGCUGGGGGUACAGCAUGGAGCAGACAAAUGAGGUCCUGCCCCACGGAGUCUGCAGUUUAGGAGGCAGAGGAACCAGAACACAGACACACAGACAGAGCCUUGCAGAUACGAACAGGUGCUCUGCAGAAAGCAAACAGAAUAGAGGGAUAGAGUGAGCCCCGAGGAAGGGGCCGCACUGCAUUAGACGGGGACAGCUCUCUGAGGAGGCCACCGUGCCGUCGAGACCCCAGUGGCAGUAGGAGCCGCCUGGCAAAGAUCUGAGGGUGCAUUGAGGCAGGCAGCAGAGGGAGCAGCUGUUACUCCAGAGGCGGAUCCUGGGCGUGGCCUGUCCAGGACCAGGGGGCGGGGGCUCCCAGGUGGACAGUGAGGACAGAGAGGUGUGGGUGAGGCGGCUGAGGCUGGGCUCACACAGAGCAGGUGUUCUCAGCCCAGACCACACAGUCAAACCCCUGGGAGCUUAAAGAAGGAAAAUCCAUGCCUGGACCCGCACCGGGCCAAUGAGGGGGUGAACGUGGGCCUCCGUAUUUUUAAAUCCACCCUGAUGCUGCUCUCUCAGUGAUGAAAUGACUGAUGUCAGGCUGUGAGGGCCUUGGAAAGAGCCGGGAUUUUAGCACAGUGAGUUGGUGUGUUUCAAGCCAGAGGGCGAUAUGCUUUGAUUUCUAGAUAGCUUUGUGAGUUUGAGCAAGUGAGUUAACUCCUCUGCGCCUCAGUUUCCUCAUCUAAAAAUGGG